CCUACGGGAGGCAGCAGUGAGGAAUAUUGGUCAAUGGACGAGAGUCUGAACCAGCCAAGUCGCGUGAAGGAUGACUGCCCUAUGGGUUGUAAACUUCUUUUAUAUGGGAAUAAAAUGUUCCACGUGUGGGAUUUUGUAUGUACCAUCUGAAUAAGGACAGGCUAACUCCUUGCCAGCAGCCGCGGGAAUACGGAGGAUCCGAGCGUUAUCCGGAUUUAUUGGGGUUAAGGGGUGCGUAGGCGGAAGGUUAAGUCAGCGGUAAAAUGUCGGUGCUCAACACCGGACUGCCGUUGAAACUGGUAUUCUGGAGUGAGCGAGAAGUAUGCGGAAUGCGUGGUGUAGCGGUGAAAUGCAUAGAUAUCACGAAGAACUCCGAUUGCGAAGGCAGCAUACCGGCGCUCAACUGACGCUGAGGCACGAAAGCGUGGGGAUCGAACAGGAUUAGAUACCCUUGUAGUC
rnacentral:rRNA from 1 species